rnacentral:rRNA from 1 species
CGUCAAAUCAGCACGGCCCUUACGUCCGGGGCGACACACGUGUUACAAUGGCAGGUACAGCGGGAAGCCACCCGGCGACGGGGCGCGGAACCCGAAAACCUGUCUCAGUUCGGAUUGGAGUCUGCAACCCGACUCCAUGAAGCUGGAUUCGCUAGUAAUCGCGCAUCAGCCACGGCGCGGUGAAUACGUUCCCGGGCCUUGUACACACCGCCCGUCAAGCCAUGGAAGCCGGGGGUGCCUGAAGUGCGUGACCGCAAGGAGCGCCCUAGGGUAAAACCGGUGACUGGGGCUAAGUCGUAACAAGG